GACGAACGCUGGCGGCGUGCUUAACACAUGCAAGUCGAACGGUAAGGCUCCAGCUUGCUGGGGUACACGAGUGGCGAACGGGUGAGUAACACGUGGGUGACCUGCCCUGCACUUCGGGAUAAGCCUGGGAAACUGGGUCUAAUACCGGAUAGAACCAUGGUGUGGAUGCUGUGGUGGAAAGUUUUUUCGGUGUGGGAUGGGCCCGCGGCCUAUCAGCUUGUUGGUGGGGUAAUGGCCUACCAAGGCGGCGACGGGUAGCCGGCCUGAGAGGGUGGACGGCCACAUUGGGACUGAGACACGGCCCAGACUCCUACGGGAGGCAGCAGUGGGGAAUAUUGCACAAUGGGCGGAAGCCUGAUGCAGCGACGCCGCGUGGGGGAUGACGGCCUUCGGGUUGUAAACUCCUUUCACCAUCGACGAAGGGUUUCUGACGGUAGAUGGAGAAGAAGCACCGGCUAACUACGUGCCAGCAGCCGCGGUAAUACGUAGGGUGCGAGCGUUGUCCGGAAUUACUGGGCGUAAAGAGCUCGUAGGUGGUUUGUCGCGUCGUCUGUGAAAUUCCGGGGCUUAACUCCGGGCGUGCAGGCGAUACGGGCAUAACUUGAGUACUGUAGGGGAGACUGGAAUUCCUGGUGUAGCGGUGAAAUGCGCAGAUAUCAGGAGGAACACCGGUGGCGAAGGCGGGUCUCUGGGCAGUAACUGACGCUGAGGAGCGAAAGCAUGGGGAGCGAACAGGAUUAGAUACCCUGGUAGUCCAUGCCGUAAACGGUGGGCGCUAGGUGUGGGUUUCCUUCCACGGGAUCCGUGCCGUAGCUAACGCAUUAAGCGCCCCGCCUGGGGAGUACGGCCGCAAGGCUAAAACUCAAAGGAAUUGACGGGGGCCCGCACAAGCGGCGGAGCAUGUGGAUUAAUUCGAUGCAACGCGAAGAACCUUACCUGGGCUUGACAUAUACAGGAUCGCGCCAGAGAUGGUGUUUCCCUUGUGGCUUGUAUACAGGUGGUGCAUGGUUGUCGUCAGCUCGUGUCGUGAGAUGUUGGGUUAAGUCCCGCAACGAGCGCAACCCUUGUCUUAUGUUGCCAGCACGUUGUGGUGGGGACUCGUAAGAAACUGCCGGGGUUAACUCGGAGGAAGGUGGGGAUGACGUCAAAUCAUCAUGCCCCUUAUGUCCAGGGCUUCACACAUGCUACAAUGGUCGGUACAGUGGGUUGCCAGUCCGUGAGGGCGAGCUAAUCCCGCAAAGCCGGUCUCAGUUCGGAUCGGGGUCUGCAACUCGACCCCGUGAAGUCGGAGUCGCUAGUAAUCGCAGAUCAGCAACGCUGCGGUGAAUACGCUCCCGGGCCU
rnacentral:rRNA from 1 species